GUGCCUGCUUUGGCAGCACAUAUACUAAAAUCUGAACCAUACCGAGAAGAUGAGCAUGGGCCUUGGGCGAGGAUGACACGCAAGUUUGCAAAGCGUUCCAUAUUUUU
ensembl:snRNA U6 U6 spliceosomal RNA